rnacentral:lncRNA from 1 species
AAGAAAAGAAAAGAAAAACUAUGUAGGCGGAGAAACUCCCCCUACAUCAAUUAAGGAAGAGGAGACACAUUGGCUCCGAAGAGCCGUGAGCCUCCCCACCACAAGGACAAAAGAAAAAAAGAAGUUCAGUGCGGAUCAGGGGGGUUUCUAGAGGCACAAGGCCCGGGAGCCUGGCCGUUGGAAAUACAAUUGUUUUCAAUAGCACGUCUAGUGGUCACAAGUUUGUGGGCGUAAAUAG